GACGAACGCUGGCGGCGUGCUUAACACAUGCAAGUCGAACGGAAAGGCCCUGCUUUUGUGGGGUGCUCGAGUGGCGAACGGGUGAGUAACACGUGAGUAACCUGCCCUUGACUUUGGGAUAACUUCAGGAAACUGGGGCUAAUACCGGAUAGGAGCUCCUGCUGCAUGGUGGGGGUUGGAAAGUUUCGGCGGUUGGGGAUGGACCCGCGGCUUAUCAGCUUGUUGGUGGGGUAGUGGCUUACCAAGGCUUUGACGGGUAGCCGGCCUGAGAGGGUGACCGGCCACAUUGGGACUGAGAUACGGCCCAGACUCCUACGGGAGGCAGCGGUGGGGAAUAUUGCACAAUGGGCGGAAGCCUGAUGCAGCAACGCCGCGUGCGGGAUGACGGCCUUCGGGUUGUAAACCGCUUUCGCCUGUGACGAAGCGUGAGUGACGGUAAUGGGUAAGGAAGCACCGGCUAACUACGUG
rnacentral:rRNA from 1 species